rnacentral:rRNA from 1 species
UACGUAGGGUGCAAGCGUUGUCCGGAAUUAUUGGGCGUAAAGGGUGCGUAGACGGCAUGAUAAGUUAUUGGCGGGAAAUCGAGGCUCAACCUCGUGGAAACUGAUAAUACUGUUUUGCUUGAGUACAGGAGAGGUUAACGGAACUCCAUGUGGAGCGGUAAAAUGUGUAGAUAUAUGGAAGAACAUCAAUAACGGCGAAGGCAGUUAACUAUUCUGUUACUGACGUUGAGGCACGAAAGCGUGGGGAGCAAAACGG